ensembl:lncRNA
AUGCGGCAGCGCAGGGCCUGUCUCGACAGCCCUCCCAGGCUUGCAGCAAAACCCCUGUAUGACAGCCCUCCUGCCUCGGAUCCAUGUCUACCGCCGAGAGCUAAUUCGGAGCACUCUUUCUGGCUUCUUCUUCCUUCCCUAAGGGGAAGGUGUCUGGUUGUUCUCCCAACCACACUUGUGGUCCCAAGAGCCUCAGGGGCCCAAGCAGUUGUGCUGGGGAGCAUUGAAACCUUCCUUUCUGCUCCUGCUCCUGUGACAAGUGUUCAAGGUGGUUCCAGCGAAUGGAAUCCUGUUUUUUUUCAUUUCUGCAACAUUAAAAGCAUUUCUCAAAAACCUCUCAGAGGUCUGAAAAGUCUCCUUGCAAAUCCAAUUAGAACUUUAGAAAUUGAUCAUACAUCAGUCCCCUUGGAAUGAAACUGAAGCCGUUAAGCAACUAUUUUUCAGAAUGAUUGCUCUUAACUGUCCAAGUGUUAUCUGAGUUUGCAGAAUGUGAGCAUUUCAACGUUAAAUAACAACCCAAAUUGUACUCUCCAAUGGCAAACAGUAUUUCUGGGGUAAUUUCUUCAUAGCACUUUUUUAUAGGUUAGUUGCAAAAAGUGGGAUUUUUCUUUUUUAAAAGAAAACCUGGCAUAUUGCAUAAUGGGCCAAACAAAAAUUUGCUUCCCUUUAUUUUUUUUCUCCCUCAAAACUUAAACUAGUUCAAUUUUUAUACUAUUACUAUUUAACCUCUUAAAAACAUAGCUGACUUCUUUAAGUUGUUUCAGCAUAAUGCAAAAACAUCUGGAGGUGAAGUGAAAAAUCAGUCUGUCACCCAGCUUCCAGAUGUUUGGUUCUACAUAGACAAAACAUCAGAAUGAAUGACUGAAAUUUUUCCCCCCUACAAUCCAGAUGGUUUAGUGCCUGGUGCUUCUACAAGGAAGCAUAUUUUCCUUUCUCUAAACAUCACAUCCUACCGUAUCCCACGUAAGGCAUGAUUUACACUCUUUCAGCUACAAAAUGCUAGACCAUUUGCAGUGCAGCAAAGCAAUCAGUAAAUGAAACUUUAAGUAUAUGUUUUGGUAAAUGUAGUCCAAGUACAAGUGUUAGUGUGUACUCAGGAGGGAAUGGUGGUGCUACAGCAGAGACGGGAGAGUGAGAGCCAGGCAGAGGGAGCCUGGCUUCAUGGGUGAACAGCUUGGCUGAAAGGACACAGCCUUCCAGAACUCCACCUGUGGCAUCCCAUAAUCUCAAAUAGACAAAGCAUAGCAUUUCGCAGGCGCUCGGGCAAAGCUGGCUUUUGCCUGAGAUGCAACAGGACUGUGCAAUGUCAUUGCGUCUGCGGAAGCCCCCUUUCCCUACUGCUGUUCUUGGGGCUUUAUACAAUCAGACAAAUGUGGUAUCCCAUGGAGACCUGAUUAGGACUCGGCAGUACCCGGGUGGGGAAAGCCUGUGCUGGAAAAGAAAAGGGGGGAAAUGAGUGUAGUGGCAAAACACAGAUUCCUCUUCCUGUGAAACAUCGUCACAUUUUACUGCUGUUAAACUCAGAGAUGACACGAAGCAACAUUUUUUUUUCUUUCUCCAAAAUCAGAGAUUUAAGGUCCUGAGCAGAGCCAGAGCUUCCCCAAAGAAUUUCUGCCUUGCUCAUGUUGAGAAAGAGGGGAUGGGUAUGAGAGAGCGUCCACUAGAGCCACCAGAUAAAAGCCAGCCCAGAGUGAAUCCCAUUCUACUUACUAAGCUCACACUCACUGGAUUACAGGAGAGUGCUUAGACGAUACGUGCAGUCAAUGUUAAAGCAUCAUAAAACCUGACCACUUAGCAACUUGCUGCAAGAAAAACAUACUAUUGUAAAUAGACCUUCUUAACAACCCAGACUCUGAGCCUUGGACGGAAGAUUUUAUGCUGGCCCAAAAUCAAUUUUAAAAAAUAGUUUAUGGGAAUCUAGUAGAAUUUCAGAGAGAUAUGCAUGUGGAGUAGUUACGAGACCCAAAGUCAAAUGGGAAUCUUUAACAGCAAAUAAAACAGUAUCGGUUAUUUUUCUGGAUUGCUGU